rnacentral:rRNA from 1 species
UACGUAGGGGGCAAGCGUUGUCCGGAAUCAUUGGGCGUAAAGCGCGUGUAGGCGGCCCGGUAAGUCCGCUGUGAAAGUCCAGGGCUCAACCCUGGAAUGCCGGUGGAUACUGUCGGGCUCGAGUCCGGAAGAGGCGAGUGGAAUUCCUGGUGUAGCGGUGAAAUGCGCAGAUAUCAGGAGGAACACCAAUGGCGAAGGCAGCUCGCUGGGACGGUACUGACGCUGAGACGCGAAAGCGUGGGGAGCGAACAGG